rnacentral:lncRNA from 1 species
GGCUGUAGAUACAGGAAGCCGCUGCUAAGGUGGCCUCAGAGAGGAACCGGUGUGGUGAACUCCUGGCAUGCGCAGGUGACAAGAGGUUCCGCAGGGUAAGGUCACAGGCUUAUUAAACUUGGAUGACAGUAAACCGAUGACUAACUGGAAUGAAUGGAGUCUCUACACAUCAAAUCGUGUGUCUUGACUACUCAGGAUGUCAAGGGCAAAGGUUAACUCCUGGGGGUUUUCUUUCUGUAUUAAGAUUCUCAAGAGAACAGAACCAGUGGUGGAUGUGGAAACAAGGCUCCGAAAAUGUUAAAGAAGCCACUCCUGGUCAUUACAUCAGCUAAACGACAGGCUCUGAUUCACCUGGGCUGUGGGAUUUCCAGGAUCAAAGCAAGUGUAAGAGGGCUGAUGGUGGGCCACUGUCACCACACCCUUCAUCUUUCACUGUGUCAUCUGAGGUUGUUCUACAGUGCCUUGCUUCUGAUUGUGCUGUCAACCUUCUCAGUCCCUGGGUUGGACCUAGGACAACAGGCCAGCCUUUGGUUAGCAUCAGCAGCUGAGUGGAGACUCGUCUCCAAGCAUCAAGGAUGUGAAAAUGUGAUCUUGUUGGGGAUAGUGGGAGCUUGGGGGAUGGGUUCCUUUGUACUUCUCUCAAGGUCUCCUGGUCCCUCCCUGUGUGUUUGUGGGCGCCACAGACAGCCUCACAAUCAGGAUGAGUGGUAACGGGACAGUCAAACACAAUGAAGGGAAUCAUUGUCUCACGAGAGUCAGAACAUCUGUUCCUCCCACCGCACCUGGGCGAAGGCCAAAUAAUCAAAAGAAGGAAACAGGAUCUGCCAACAACGCACUUUACCUUGAGUCUUUGUGUAGAGAAUACCUUCUCCAAGUAGGCGCCUUUCAUUGGCUCAGAUUUUCCCAUCUCAGUUGUCAUUAUAACUGAAAGCUAUUGUAGCUCAUAAUUUCACAUUGUCCUUUCAAAUAGAAGCAUCGCCAAGCAGAUGUGAACAAUUAUCUUCAAUUGUGAUUUUUUUUCCAUUAAAUUUCUAAAGGAAUACCUAACCUGGGUGUUCAAACAUUGGUUAAUCC